rnacentral:tRNA from 1 species
UGGGUUGUGGCUCAAUGGUAGAGUGCUUGCCUCGCAUGUGUGAGGCCUUGGGUUCGAUCCUCAGCACCACAU